rnacentral:rRNA from 1 species
AGUGAACGCUGGCGGUAGGCCUAGCACAUGCAAGUCGAACGGCAGCACAGUAGGAGCUUGCUCUUACGGGUGGCGAGUGGCGGACGGGUGAGGAAUACAUCGGAAUCUACUUUUUCGUGGGGGAUAACGUAGGGAAACUUACGCUAAUACCGCAUACGACCUACGGGUGAAAGCAGGGGAUCUUCGGACCUUGCGCGAUUGAAUGAGCCGAUGUCGGAUUAGCUAGUUGGCGGGGUAAAGGCCCACCAAGGCGACGAUCCGUAGCUGGUCUGAGAGGAUGAUCAGCCACACUGGAACUGAGACACGGUCCAGACUCCUACGGGAGGCAGCAGUGGGGAAUAUUGGACAAUGGGCGCAAGCCUGAUCCAGCCAUACCGCGUGGGUGAAGAAGGCCUUCGGGUUGUAAAGCCCUUUUGUUGGGAAAGAAAAGCAGCAGGUUAAUACCCCGCUGUUCUGACGGUACCCAAAGAAUAAGCACCGGCUAACUUCGUG